ensembl:lncRNA
UCCUAUAAUAACCUAUAAUAAUAAUAAUCCUACAUUAAUAAACAUAACAAUAAUAAUCCUAUAAUAAUAAUAAUCCUAUCAUAAAUAUAAUGCUAUAAUAAUAAUAAUCCUAUCAUAAUAAUAAUAAUCCUAUAAUAAUAAUAAUCUUAUAAUAAUAAUAAUCCUAUCAUAAUAAUAAUCAUAUAAUAAUAAUACUCAUAUAAUAUUCUAUAAUAAUAAUCCUAUAAUAUCUCACCUCGAACAACAUUUACUUAGUUUUCUUUCACAAGCUAAGUUGUUUUUCAAUGUUUGAGUUUUCUUCAACUGCUAGCGAAUUGGCUACUAAUCAGAUUCUCUAUCUAACAGACAGGACUAGAGCUAGCGGCUUGAGUGCCCUGGUUGCCAGGGUAACCUCCUGCCCUUAAAAGGUCGACAUCUGAACAUUUUAAUCUCAGCUGUGAUAUUUUGAUUAAAAGACUCAGGUCACAAAAAAAUGAAAUAACAUUGAGCAAAAUACCACAUCAAUUCUCACUACUGAUACAUUUAUUAUUUUAGAAACAUUACAAAGCAUGCUCAUCCGGUUUAUUUUAGUUUUAUAGUGAACAAAUAUUUUGGCUGGUAAAAAAAAUCUGAGUGGGUAAAAGUUAGUUUCAGGCCCUGAUCCAAAUGCUUAAAUUAUUUAGCUACUGGGAAACGAGGCCCUGAUCUCUGGACAGGGUCUUCAAAGGGGACAUACAGACACUGUACCAAUUUAACCACAGUCCCAUAUUCCAUCUUCCUCCCUAGGGGAACACAUCUCACAGUGUCACUGGUCUGAUAAUUCUUCGUCUCCCUGACAUCUUGACUCCAUCACUCACAUCACAAGACGUUAUUCACUCUCUCAGAACAGCUCCUCUCACCCCUCCCCUUCCUGUCACAAUCACAGUCCUUUUUCUGCUGAUGUUUACGUCUGAAACGUUUGAAAAGCAAAGCGGGUGUCGUCUCCCCGUCUGUCCCCGCCUGCCGAUAUCCCAGCUGCUUGCCUUCGCCGAACCUUCCCUGAUAAUUGGGAGAUUAUGAUGCAGGAGCCGGGGAAUCGGAGCGUAAACACUGUUUUGCUAUGAUCCGAUUAAUCAUUUCCAAUUGAAGAUGCACAGGAGUAAUUGCAAAGCCACCGAUACCCCUGCUGUCAAAGCUAUGAUGAGCCUUCAGCAACGUUUUCAUGAUGAGCCGAGGGCAAAAAAAUAAAGCAAUGUGAUAAAGUUUCAAGAGAUGUAAGCGAGCUUACUGUAGAGUACCUGUGGUGAUGUGAUGUGACAUGUUAUGUCUUAUCCAAGGGAGAGAAAACCUCUGUCAAGCAAUGGAUGGAUUUGUUUCGUCAGUUGUAUACAGAUGAGUUGAGUUUCUUGAAGAGGAGAGUAGACCAACAGAGCAGGAGGUGACUAGUCCAGUUAUUGAGUGGGCCUAGACUCUAGCGUCCAGGUUCAUUGAUAAUGUCCUAGCGUCCAGGUUCAUUGAUCAUGUCCUAGCGUCCAGGUUCAUUGAUCAUGUCCUAGCGUCCUGGUUCAUUGAUAAUGUCCGAGCAUCCAGGUUCAUUGAUAAUGUCCGAGCGUCCAGGUUCAUUGAUCAUGUCCUAGUGUCCAGGUUCAUUGAUCAUGUCCUAGCGUCCAGGUUCAUUGAUAUUGUCCUAGCCUCCAGGUUCAUUGAUAAUGUCCUAGCGUCCAGGUUCAUUGAUAAUGUCCGAGCGUCCAGGUUCAUUGAUAGUACAGAUUGACCAGCUGAGUAGUCAUUAUUCUAGUUUCUAUCAGCAAGCAUGGUGACUGGUGAGUCAUUGCCAGUUCCUAUAACAUCUCUGCAGGUCAGUCCAAAAGAGAGUGGCAACCAACCGACUUGAUGCUUGGGUUCUGACAACCAAGAGUAGACUUUGCUGUCGCAGAAGAACACCGUGUGACACGACAUCAUCUGUUGGUCAAUGCAACAUCGAUGUUCUGUUCUGUGCGACUUGAUGCUUGGGUUCUGACACUGGGAAAAAAAACACAGGUGCUUCCUAGCACCAUGAGUCUCCAUGGAAACACAUCCUGUGGCCCCUCGCUACAUUGAUGGAUCCGACACUUAAUUUCUACCUUUCACUGACAGAUCUAGGUUGACGUGAGCAAAGUGACUGGCCCUUACGACAUUCACAGGGAGAACAGACUGUAACACAACCAGUGUCAUUUCAGAACAUAUUUUUGUUUUAGUAUGUCCAUGUAGAGUUGGUUCAGGGCCUUGAGAGGUGGUUUGAAGGUUACACCCUCUCGUUACAGUAUCAGUCUGUCUGGUGUAGAAACCACUCUGUCAUUACAGUAUCAGUCUGUCUGGUGUAGAAACCACUCUGUGUUCUACAGUCAUCUUCAGAGAUAUUAUCUACAGUGAUCUGUGUUCUAGAGUCAUCGUCAGAGAUAUUAUCUACAGUGAUCUGUGUUCUACAGUCAUCGUCAGAGAUAUUAUCUAUAGUGAUCUGUGUUCUAGAGUCAUCUUCAGAGAUAUUAUCUACAGUGAUCUGUGUUCUAGAGUCAUCUUCAGAGAUAUUAUCUACAGUGAUCUGUGUUCUAGAGUCAUCUUCAGAGAUAUUAUCUACAGUGAUCUGUGUUCUAGAGUCAUCUUCAGAGAUAUUAUCUACAGUGAUCUGUGUUCUAGAGUCAUCUUCAGAGAUAUUAUCUACAGUGAUCUGUGGAAUCUAGGACGGCUCAUUCAUAAAAUACUAUGUUUGAUUUAUUGGUGUCAAAAACAAGAGAUAUGCUUUGGAUUGCUGAUUUAGCCAAUGAACACACACACACACACACACAAACACACACACACACACACACACACACACACACACACACACACACACACACACACACACACACACACACACACA